AGAGUUUGAUCCUGGCUCAGGACGAACGCUGGCGGCGUGCUUAACACAUGCAAGUCGAACGGAAAGGCCCUUCGGGGUACUCGAGUGGCGAACGGGUGAGUAACACGUGGGUGAUCUGCCCUGCACUUUGGGAUAAGCCUGGGAAACUGGGUCUAAUACCGAAUAUGACCAUGCGCCUCCUGGUGUGUGGUGGAAAGCUUUUGCGGUGUGGGAUGGGCCCGCGGCCUAUCAGCUUGUUGGUGGGGUAAUGGCCUACCAAGGCGACGACGGGUAGCCGGCCUGAGAGGGUGACCGGCCACACUGGGACUGAGAUACGGCCCAGACUCCUACGGGAGGCAGCAGUGGGGAAUAUUGCACAAUGGGCGCAAGCCUGAUGCAGCGACGCCGCGUGAGGGAUGACGGCCUUCGGGUUGUAAACCUCUUUCAGCACAGACGAAGCGCAAGUGACGGUAUGUGCAGAAGAAGGACCGGCCAACUACGUGCCAGCAGCCGCGGUAAUACGUAGGGUCCGAGCGUUGUCCGGAAUUACUGGGCGUAAAGAGCUCGUAGGUGGUUUGUCGCGUUGUUCGUGAAAACCCACAGCUUAACUGUGGGCGUGCGGGCGAUACGGGCAGACUUGAGUACUGCAGGGGAGACUGGAAUUCCUGGUGUAGCGGUGGAAUGCGCAGAUAUCAGGAGGAACACCGGUGGCGAAGGCGGGUCUCUGGGCAGUAACUGACGCUGAGGAGCGAAAGCGUGGGGAGCGAACAGGAUUAGAUACCCUGGUAGUCC
rnacentral:rRNA from 1 species